rnacentral:tRNA from 1 species
GGUAAAAUGGCCGAGAGCCAGGCAUUAAAUUGUAAAUUUAACUACGAGGAUUUAUCCUCUUUUACCA